CAUUAUCGUACAACCGAGGUGCAAGGGCUGUCGCUGACCUCCAAAGGUUGUGCACGCCCGAGCGCUCUCACACAAUCCAUCUCACACCCCUUUGUGCAUCACCGCGAGGGUCCCAGUGGCUGUAACGGCCCCAAGGUGGGAAUGCGAGGCGAUGUUUUCCCCAACGGAGUCCCGUGCUCGUGCGCCGAGUUCAAGACUGUCCCCUCCAGAAAACUUUGGUGUCCAUCGUCCCUCACAGCGUAGGCUGUGGUCGGAUUUGGAGUAAUCGGCCCUUGUCUAGCCAGGGAAGCAAUUCCGCAGCUAGCAGGACUCACCGAGUUGGUCUUAGGAGAUCAGGGCACGUCAUCUGUCGCGCGGGUGCGCCGUGUCCCUCGUAGACCUUUAUACCUCGCGUUUUCACACAAACCUCUGAUACAGUGUAGAAUGUUAUUUUACCUUUUGCGGUCACACGCAAUCAAUACAACUUUCAACAACGGAUCUCUUGGCUCUCGCAUCGCGAGCUCCUCUCAAAUGAAUCAGUGGGGUCCGCUUUGCCGAUCCUUGACGUGAUAAGAUGCUUCUACGUUUUGGAUUUGGCACUGUCCCUUGGAUGCCUGCUUCUAACCGUCCCAUGGACAAUGAUGGUGCUCCGGUCAACCGCCGUCUACGUUGGCGGGGGGAGGCUGGACCCACAAG
rnacentral:misc_RNA from 1 species